rnacentral:rRNA from 1 species
AAGCGGGGGACCUGCAAGGGCCUCGCGCUAUAGGAGCGGCCGAUGUCCGAUUAGCUAGUUGGUGGGGUAAAGGCCCACCAAGGCGACGAUCGGUAGCUGGUCUGAGAGGAUGAUCAGCCACACUGGGACUGAGACACGGCCCAGACUCCUACGGGAGGCAGCAGUGGGGAAUUUUGGACAAUGGGGGCAACCCUGAUCCAGCCAUGCCGCGUGCGGGAAGAAGGCCUUCGGGUUGUAAACCGCUUUUGGUCGGGAAGAAAAGGUUCAUCCUAAUAGGGUGGACUAUUGACGGUACCGGCAGAAUAAGCACCGGCUAACUACGUGCCAGCAGCCGCGGUAAUACGUAGGGUGCGAGCGUUAAUCGGAAUUACUGGGCGUAAAGCGUGCGCAGGCGGUGAAAGCCCCGGGCUCAACCUG